UACAGAGGAUGCAAGCGUUAUCCGGAAUCACUGGGCAUAAAGCGUCUGUAGGUUGUAUAGCAAGUCUGCUGUUAAAGACUAGGGCCUAACCCUAGGAAAGCAGUGGAAACUACUAUACUUGAGUGUGGUAGAGGUAGAGGGAAUUCCUGGUGUAGCGGUGAAAUGCGUAGAUAUUAGGAAGAACACCCAUGGCGAAAGCACUCUACUAGGCCAUAACUGACACUGAGAGACGACAGCUAGGGGAGCAAAUGGG
rnacentral:rRNA from 1 species